CUUUGUUGAAUUUCAAACAGUUCCUCUCUGCCCAUCUCUCCAAUCUGUCAAGGUCCUUCUGAAGGGCUGCAGAGCACUGUGGGGUACCAGCCACUCCUCCCAGCUUUGUGUCAUCAGUGAACUUGCUGAGAAGGCAUCAAACCCUUCAUUCAAGUCAGUGAUGAAUAAUUUAAACAAUACCGGGCCCAGUAUUGAACCUUGGGGGACACCACUAGUGACAGGCCUCCAACUAGACCCUGUGCCACUAAUUAUGACCCUCUGGAAUAUGCCGUUCAGCCAGUUCUCAAUCCAUCCCACUGUCCACUCAUCCAAUCUACACUUCCUGAGUUUGCCUGUGAGGAUAUUGUGACAGACAGUGUCAAAAGCUUUGCUGAAUCAAGGUAGACAAUAUCCCCUGCUCUCCUUUCACCCAUCCAGGUAGUUAUUUCACCGUAGAAUGAAUCUGGCUGGUCAAGCAUAAUUUACGUUUAGUGAAUCCAUGCUGGCUAUUCCUGAUCACCUUCUUGUCAUCCAUGUGGAUAGAUAUGGCCUCCGGAAUGAGGCAUCCAUCAGCUUUCCGUGGAUUGAGGUGAAGCUGACUGGCCUGCUCCCUGGGUCCUCCUUUGAACACCGGGUGUGGACUUUUAUCAGCUCUAUAUAAUUGCCAGUGAAGAGUUCUUGCCAGCAGUUGAAGUAUCACACUCUGUUCUCUAAUUCUGACAUGGAUAUAAAUUUUCUGUGCUUGUCUGCUUAUAAGAACAAUUCUAUUUGAAAGACUCACUGUGAAGAAAAUCCAAAGGUGCUCAGAAAAUAAGCAGCAGGCUGCAGAUUGAAGAGGGGUGUCAGACAUGGGACAUUAAGCUCUUGAACCUGCACUGCUGAUCUCAGACCCCCAGCUUACCACUUUGCUUGAAAGUCUGCACUUUGCUGUGCUCGAGGGCAGGACAGCACACUUCUACCUCCAGCACAACCAAGAUCCUUAAGAGGUGGGACACUCAACUAGAGCUACCAUUUAAAACGAUCUAGGGGGUCAAAAGGAGGCCCCCCUUCAGCUCACCACCCUCCAAACCUUGUAUGCAAAGCGAUGUCAACAGUUCCAGCUAGCAGGGUGGAUAAGCUGAGAGCCAUAUUCCAAGGGAUCUACCCUCUGCAAGUGGAGUGGUUGGAAAAAGAGAUAACCCUUACAGAGAUCUUUCAGCCUGAAGCACAGAGGAUAUGUAUAUGGUUUUCCCAGCAGCCAAGUAUGAUGAAGAAGAGAAAGGGGUAUUUAGAAGAACCAUUUUCCUGAUCCAAAUCCAAAGAAUGGACAUUUAACUGGCAGGUUGAGCCAAAGCAGUUUUUUUCUUAUUGAUAGAAGCUAACCCCAAUCCUGGAAAAGUAGCAACAGCGGGAACUCACCUUCAUCUAGGGCUUGGUAUUGCAGUACUAUGUAAAGUACUAGGGGCAUGCAAAAAGACUAUGGUUGUUCAGCCAUUUAAGAUUCAAGAGACUGUAUCAGAGUCUACAACCUACACUACAACUUGCAUUCUGUACUCAGAAUUUAACACCUGGGUUCAUUCCAGGAUGGGAAGAGGCAGCACUGGGCACAGAUAAGACUAAAUCUUUAAUUUUCAUGGCUUUACUUUCCAUAUUGAUCAUUUGUAACCUCACGUCUCCCAAUACUUAUUACAUGCCGAGAAGGCAAAUUAAAACAGGCUGGCCAUGGGCAGAGUAUGGCCAUAGCUGAGGAUGGACAAGCUUUUCUCCCAGUCGCUGGGUUUUACUGCAUGCACAACGCUGCAUCCACUCUGAAGAUGAUCAAUCCCUACGCCAAUACCACUGAUCAGUGGAGUAACAGGUUUGCAUAGACCCUUACAUCUGACAGAGGAAAGCCCAUCUUCUGGGCAUGACCAUGUCAAAAAAUCAUUCUGGGGGGAAUUCCUGCAACAUUCCCUUAGGCAGAAAGGUCAGCUAGUGCCUAGCUGCCAGGUGGGCAGCACCCAGCUGACUGCCACGUCCAUUGAGUACCUGGGGCAGCAGGCACGGCCACACUGUGCUGCUUCACCCCAUCAGCACACCAAGUCCCUGAACAAGGAAGACCACUGUGUGCUUGUUAUGAGAUGCGUAAGAGGUCUUAAUCAGACAUUCAGAGAAAAACCUAAAUCAUGAACGCUCCCUACCAUUUUAUGUGGGAAGAUUAAGAAACUCUCUCUGCUGGUCACAGAAGAAAAAAUAUAUAGAAACUCUGCACGGCCUCUAGAAAAGACUUUGAGCCACCUAACAGUCUAGCAGUAAAAAGAACCACUAUCUUUUUUCCCUAUUAUUGACUACAAAAUAGCUCAGGGUUAACAAUAAGCAAAAUGAAGGUGCAAAAUACCAACCGCAUGUGCAGGCUUGAAACAAAAGUUAAAAUUAUAUCAAAUCAACAAUUACUCAUUCCCAUGGUGUUCCACCUGCCCUCAUCAGGUUAUAAAGAACAAAUGUCAGCGAUAACAUACAGGAAAAAGGUGUUCUUCUGAUAAGGAAAAUAGCUUUGUAGCAGUUCCUUUGGGGGAAAAUAAAUAGUCUUCCUUCCCUCCUUUUAAAAACAGACCAGCUGAUCUAUUACUAGUUUUGUGCAAAGUUUUGCACAACAAUGUCCUCAAACUGCUGUUAUACUUAAUUUGUGUCUUGGUAAAAUAACGUCAUAAGGUCCCAAGAUUAUUAUCUCCGUGAUUUUCAGAUAAGACUUUCAGUUUAUGUGUAAAAAUAUCUUUUUCCUAAUUGCUAGUACUGCAAACUCUUGCUUAGAGUUUGAAAGUCAAGCUGUGUUCCUUCUGUUUCAUAUAUCAACACUGCACUUGGCACUUAACAAUUGUGUUGUAAAAUGCGACUCAGAAAGGAAGAACCCCUGUAAUCUGUGCAAGCUGCCUGACUUUGCAGCACUAACAGAAGACAUCAAAGGGUAAAUUCUUUCUUUACUCAGACAGACAUGUAAGGACUAGAGACAACCAAGAAAAGCUGUUUUAUUUUUUUUUCCCCAGAUUUUAGCCCCAUUUUGUGUACCCAGACACACACUUCCAGGUGUUACAGGUUCUUCAUAGCAUCCAGGAGUUGUCCUCACAUAACGGAAUGUGUUCUGUUAUGUACCAGUUGGACACUUUGAUGCUUGGCUCUACACGCCUGCUUCCAGUCUAGGCUGGCCUCUUCCACAGAGGCAAGUUUCUUUCACUUCUGGAAGCGUAUAUGGGAGUGGAAUAAAAAGAGACUGCCAUUUCUUCUGCUAGCUGACAGGGAAAAGUGUUAUUACCUACUGUGAUCCCAGUAUUCAGAACAGUAUUUAGCAUUUUCCUGUGACAGAGAGAUACACACAAGCAUGUGUUUCUGUUAAUAUGGGGAAAAAAGCCAAAUGAAAUGCUGAUAAUGAUAUCAGGGAAAAAAAUAGGAGAGCUGGUCUUCAAGCUCAUUCUAGGUCUGUGACUACAGUUUUAGCACUAAAGGGAACAUCAGAAAAAAAACUAUCCCAGCAUCUAAAUAUUCAACUUCAAGAGUAUGAGCCAUAAAAGUCCUGUCUUUCACCUACCUUGGUUGAGGUGAGCCUGGCACAUACUCAGACAAUUCAGAAUUCAUAUGCUUAAGUCCCCUAAAGCCAAGAAACCUAGGUAAAUGAAAUGUGCCAGUACAGUUCUGUGGCAGUGAGGCCAACUGGCAAGGAAUGUCCCACCUUCAUAAAGUUGAGCCUUCUCAUGCACCAAGACAGAAGACCACAUACAAACUCCCUCCCAGCAGUGGACUCUAUUAUCAUGCUAGCUCCUGAACUGUGCUGAGGAAUUCUUUGAGAGUCAGUAAAGCAGGCAGGAACAGCUCUAAAAGAGUACAGCCAUUCCAUUCAGAUACCCAAGAACACCACUGGAUGCUGUUUACAAGGAUGAACCUAAUCUGGGGGUUUGAAUAGACAAAUGAGCUUAAGUAUACAGAAGUACAAGUUGAGUACACAGAGGAGCAACCGCUAACACCUUCACUCCAACCUGCUGUUCAGUGAUUCUUUAAUUAAAAAAAAAGAAUCCUGAGAGCAGACUAGAGAAGAAAGGUCCUCAUACUUAACCAGCCAUGCUCCCUGUCAGCUGAGACAAUCAGGCUCCUUUUCCGACCCAGGGAACCAUGUCCUCCUAGUUGCAUAAUGGCCCAGCCUCAAUAGGUUGCUCACAGCACCCACUAUUUUUUUAGCAUGUUCAUGGUGUAUCAGCACACAGGGCUUUGAACUCCCUCAGGCUAAGGAGAAUAUUGACCCAUAUGUCACGACUUUGGGGCAAGGGUUCUGGAAUACCAGAUAAAGCCGGGCAUCACCUACCGCCUCUCAUGCUGUGCUGUAAAAAUAAACAACAGAGUGGCUGGCUGAAAACAGGAUGGCACAGAUGCCUGUGGUGUCCUAAGCAAUGAAAUCUAAAAAGAUAAGCCUCUAGCUGAAGGCUGCAGUGAAGCCACAAAGUCUGACUGUGGCUUUAUGUCCUUCUAAGCAUCCUAAACUCCUCAACUGUGCAGUGGAUAUAAAGGUUUUUAUAACAAUAUUGCUUGAAUAAAAAAAAAGGCAAAACGAUCAGACACUGUGAUAAUGGGAGUGCAGGUAGAUCUAGACUUUCAGAGUCCACAGAAAAUGAGAAGGCAUAACAAAAUUCAUUAUAGGAAAUGGCUUUACUAUGCUAGAACUUUCAGGCACAUUUUCAAUGCUGACAUGGACAUAUACUAUAGCAAAUGUACAUGGAUGAACUUUUUUCCCCUCUCCAUAAUUAUUUCCAUUUUAUAAUAGCUGCAAGAGGCUGCAGGCAAUGUAUUUUCUUGUACUUUUUGGAUGGCUGAAGUCAUCUGGUUUUUCUGAUGCUAUGCAAUUUAUUCAAGGUGUUUAACACUGAUAACCAACCACAGAUGCACUCCCUAGACUUUCCCAUUGCCACAGUAACACACUGCCUAAACCGGCCAACAAUUAUAGGGGUGUUUUUUUCCAACUAAACUGAGGAAAACACAAAAUUUUAUAUUCAUACAAAAUAUCUAUAUGAUAAGCAAAAACCCCCAAAAUAAUCAUAGAUUAAUCCCUUCUGGGUUUUGUUUAAUUUUUUAGAGCUCUGCCAAGCAGAAGGUUGAUUGUUCAUCACCAAAGGUGUUUUCUGCACAAUGUCAAUUCCUAUGAUAUUCUAUAGAUUCACACAGCUGUAUUUAUUAAAACACAGAGAGUUGAGUGUUAGUAAAUGGAUGCUUCUAACAGCUCCUGCAGAUUGGAAUAAAGUAGCUAAUGAGAAGAACUGCUCAUAUUGCCUUAUUCCUAAGGCAUGGACCAUCUUUAAGCUAGACUAUGAUGACAAAUGGUUGUUUUCUCCUUUAUAUACAUCACCUUCCAUGAUUACAGAUAUAGACGAAUAGCUCUUUGAACUGCAUCCAUAACUAACCUCAGACACUGUCUCAAGAACUUGAUUCCAGCCUUACUAGUUGAAAGCUGAGCAAAGACGAAUUGUAUUAAUUGUUUGGGAAAGCAUAUAUUCAUGUACCCAAAAAAACAAGUGUGAGAAAAAUGUAAGCAGAUCAACUUUUAAAUGCUUUGUCAAAGCAAGCCUGAAGAAUAUUAAAUGCAUUUACUUCUCUUCUUUUCCCCCUGUUUUGACCUGAUUUUUUUAUACCUUGGUAUAAUUCUACUGAAAUCAACAACCCUCUUGCAGCUGAUAUCCUUUGAAGUUCUUUCUAAUCUAAUUUUUGUUCAGAAAGAAACUAAGAAAAAAAAGAAAAAAACUUCGAACAAUGAAAUCAAACACUGGAAGUUAAAAAUGUAAGCUCCCUUUAGGUUCAUACGAGAAUAUGAGUUGGGGUAAAAGCUGACAUGAUUCAUCCAUCUUGAGAAGUACAGCCACAACUUCCACUUACACAAAGGUAUUAUCAAGGACCAGUAACAGCCUUUAUAGCAGGUAUCAAAAAACACUGCUUUCCUUAAUUUUACUUCAAGGAAAUGGAGACAAAAAAAGCCUAAAAUAUCGCUCCAAACCAAUCACUAUUGAAAAAGUAUUUUGUUUUAUAUUUAGAUCCUUUCAAUGAUUUAUCUGAUUUUCUUUCCUCUUUAAGGAAGUGGUCUUUAACAGAAUUUGAUGCAAGAAAUGUGGGAGGACAGUGUAAGUAGAGAAGUGAUAGCAUCUUCAUAGACAGCAUCAUUCUCAAGUCCCCUUGGGGGCUACAGUGCUUUGGCUUAUGUGGGUAGAUUUUCUUUCUGCUGCUUUUCCUCUUGCUUCAUGUAUUUCUAAUUUCUAAUCCCUGCUGCAGUGUCAGUGAAAAAGAAAAAGACAGCUCUUGAAGACUUUGUGGUCUUUUUAUGGUUUUUUUGGUCCAUAAGGGAGGCAGCCUUUUCCCUCUAAACUGGAUCUGUACUCAGAAGAGUCUUGAGAACUGCUUGGCUGCUCCCUGUGAUCUCAGCAGAACUGGCCCGAUAGCAGAGGCUUGGGAGCAAGCCUUGGAGGUCAGACUAUGACAGUGUCCACAUGCCCUUUGCUGCUGUGAUUAGUCUGAUAGUGUUCAUGCCUUGUAUUUCUAAAGGUAAUGAAAUAUAUAAAUACCAUGGGAGAAACUUUGCACCCGCUUAUGUCACUCUGGAGGAAGGUCACUACUUUUUGAGAUGUUAUUCCAGCUUGUAUACUUGUGUGAUUCAAAGCAGAAAUUUUCCUUACCAUUUAUUAUGGCAACAGAAAACUUACUUCAGGUAGCAAAGUGGUCCACAGUAGGAAUCUAAAUAUUAAAAUAAGACCACAAGAAUCAACUUAUCCAUACAUUAAACUAGAAAGAAUUUGAGGAAGCUGAGAAAUAAAGAGACCAGAUGGUCUUCAAAAUACAAUUAGACACCAAGAAGGUGCAGAAAAGAAACAAAAAGUAUCAUGGAUAUGAUUUUGGUGAUAACAUUGAAAGACUCUGAGAAUAUACAUUUUGUUCUGAAUCAUUUGUCAUUCUCCUUACACUCUUAACUAUAAUAGUGAGAAAGCUGUAUUUCAUGUCCUGUUUCUUACUGCAAUUAUUUUAAUAAAAUUAAUUCAUUUUUAAAAUUACAUUGUUCAAGGGCACUUAUCAAUAGAAUAUAUGACAUGGUCUCCUUUGUAAGGCUGAACAUCUCAUCUCACACACCGUGAAAGAAAAUCAGUAAGGCAUCCCAGGAUACACUAGAAUACCAACAGGAUGUUGGGAGAUUUAUAAAAUAGAAACUUGCUAUUAAAUAGACUAUAAUAUUUCAAAUUACACCAUAGCUCUAAUACAACUUGUCAAAAGCUAAUCAGUGAAAAGGUCUCAUGUAGUGUUUAGAAGACUGAAAUUUACUUCCUUCCUUCCUUUGCAUAUCACUAUCAAAAGAUUAUUCCAUUUUAAAUUUCAUUACUUUGAAUAAAAUUGGUAACUCCCUAGAAAGAAACCUCUGCUUUCUUAUAGCCUUGAGAUCUACAUUACCUUGUGGUAUACACUGGUAAUACUCCUGAUGAAGCUGAAGCAGCAAAGCACCAGAAUGAGACAAGGUCUGCUCCAGAGAGUACUGUGAUCUCUGCCUCAUCACCAAUACCAUUCUGUUUAAACAGUGCUUCUGUUUUCUUUAAGAUUUUGAUCCAGCAUGACUGGGUCCAAUCCUUGCUUUAUAAACAAGAUGCUAUAAAAUUUCAGCUAGGGAAUACUGCUGUGGGUUUUGUUUUCAUGUGGCUUAUACUUAUUUAAUGUAAAAUCAUAUCUUGGGUAGAAAUGGUGCACAGUCCUUUAAUUAACUCAGCUCUAAGUUUUGCCUGAAUGAUUAAUAAAAUGAGAAAAUUCUCUGUUCUGCUAUGAAAGCUCUUUUCUUUUGUAUUCCUUCAUUCUUUUCUAUUCUUAAACCCUUUCUUCAAAUCAGAUUCCCAAGCUGAUAUUUGUUCAUUUGGGCUCACCUAAGAACUAUAUAGUCUGUGGUUAAUCAAGUUAAUUUUCUUUUGUCACAAAACUCCAAAACAAAAUAACAACAAAAAAAGCAAUAAAAGUAACCAUUUGUUGUUGUUGUUGUUCAUGAA